rnacentral:lncRNA from 1 species
AUGCCCUCUAGACAUCUUCGAGGAUUUGUUAUGGAUGGGCCAAGUCAUUUCUCCACUAUGCCAGCUUGGAUAAGAAAGAACCCCUCCCUCCUCAGCAAUCUCUCCGAUCUGGGCAUCAACUUGCAGGAGCUUCGGCAGGAGGAUCUGAAAGCCCUUGAAAGGAGAGUUCUGCUGCUUGAGAUCGUUCGCCUAUAUAUUCGUGAUUCAGUUCGGCUCAUGUUCCAGCAGGGAGCAAUGCCAAGGGUCCAAACAGUUAGCUUGGGUUAUUUCCAUGUGCAAGAUACAAGAGAUGGUGAAAAUGUUGAUUUUGUCUUCGGUUUGGAGAAUCUGCUCUCCCUUGAGUGUGUUCAGUGCAUUGAUCCUAUAUAUAGCGACAUGGAAUCUGCAUUGAGGCACGCCGUCCAGAUCCAUUCCAACCAUCCCACCUUUAAUGUAUGCUAAAUCACUUAUU